UACGUAGGCAGCGAGCGUUGUUCGGAGUUACUGGGCGUAAAGAGCGCGUAGGCGGUUUUCUAAGUUUGGUGUGAAAUCUCCCGGCUUAACUGGGAGGGUGCGCCGAAGACUGGAAGGCUUGAGUAUGGGAGAGGUAAGCGGAAUUCCUGGUGUAGCGGUGAAAUGCGUAGAUAUCAGGAGGAACACCUGCGGUGUAGACGGCUUACUGGACCAUCACUGACGCUAAGGCACGAAAGCGUGGGUAGCAAACAGG
rnacentral:rRNA from 1 species